rnacentral:rRNA from 1 species
UGGUUGAUCCUGCCAGUAGUCAUAUGCUUGUCUCAAAAAUUAAGCCAUACAUGUGUAAGUAUGAACUAAUUCAAACUGUGAAACUGCGAAUGGCUCAUUAAAUUAGUUAUAGUUUGUUUAAUGGUAUCUGCUACUCAGAUAACCGUAGUAAUCUAGAGUUAAUAUGUGCAAAAAAUUUUGACUUCUGGAAGGAAUGCAUUUAUUAGAUAAAAGGUCGACGUGGGCUCUACCCGUUACUCUAAUGAUUCAUGAUAACUCCAUGGAUCGCAUAGCCAUCUUGUCGGUGAUGCAUCAUUCAAAUUUCUGCCCCAUCAACUUUCGAUGGUAGGAUAGAGGCCUACCAUGGUGGUGAUGGGGUCACGAAGGAUUAGGGUUUGAUUCUGAAGGGGGAGCCUGAGAAAUGGCCACCACAUCCAAGGAAGGCAGCAGGUGCGCAAAUUACCAAAACCUAAUACAGGGAGGUAGUGAUAAUAAAUAACAAUAUCGGGUUCUUCGAGUCUGGUAAUUCAAACUUAAUGAGGAUCCAUUGGAGGACAAGUAUGGUGCCAGCAGCCACAGUAAUUCCAGCUCCAAUAGCAUAUAUUUAAGUUGUUGUAGUUAAAAAGAUCGUAGUUGGACCUUGGGUUGGGUUGAACGGUCUGCCUCGCGUUGUGCACCUGUCGGCUCGUCCCUUCUGCCAGCGAUGCGCUCCUGGCCUUAACUAGCCAGGUUGUGCCUUUGGCAUUGUUACUUUGAAGAAAUUAGAAUACUUAAAGCAAGCCUACACUCUGUAUACAUUAGCAUGGAAUAACAUCAUAGGAUUUCAUUCUUAUUCUAUUGGCCUUCGAGAUUAGAGUAAUGAUUAACAUGGACAGUUAAGGGGCAAUCGUAUUUCAUAGUCAGAGGUAAAAUUUUUCGAUUUAUGAAAGGCGAACAACUACGAAAGCAUUUGCCAAAGAGUUUUUCAUUAAUCAAGAACGAAAGUUGGGGGCUCUGGGCUCGAAGACGAUCAGAUACCAUCCUAGUCUCAACCAUAAAUGAUGCCGACCAGGGAUCAGCGGAUGUUGCUUUUAGGACUCCGCCGGCACCUUAUGAGAAAUCAAAGGCUUUGGGUUUCGGGGGGAGUAUGGUCGCAAGGCUGAAAUUUAAAGCAAUUGACGGAAGGGCACCACCAAGAGUGGAGCUUGCGGCUUAAUCUGACUCAACACGGAGAAACUUACUCUAGACAUAGUAAGGAUUGACAGACUGAGAGCUCUUUCUUGAUUCUAUGGGUGGUGGUGCAUGGCCUUCUUAGUUGGUGGAGCGAUUUGUCUGGUUAAUUUCGUUAAUGAACGAUACUUCAGCCUGCUAACUAGUUAUGCAGAGGUGACCCUCCACAGCCAGCUUCUUAGAGGGACUAUGGCCUUUUAAGCCAAGAAAAUUUGAGGCAAUAACAGGUCUGUGAUACCCUUAGAUGUUUUGGGCUGUAUGCGCGUUACAUUGAUAUAUUCAACGAGUUUAUAGCCUUGGCCGACAGGCCCGGAUAAUCUUUGAAAUUUCAUUGUUGAUGGGGAUAGAUCAUUGCAAUUGUUGGUCUUCAACAAGGAAUUCCUAGUAAGGAGUCAUCAGCUCGCGUUGAUUACGUCCCUUCCCUUUGUACACAUCGCCUGUUGCUCCUACCGAUUGAAUGGUUCGAUGAAGUGUUCGGAUCGCAGCGACGUUGGCAGUUCAUCAUCGACGACGUUACGAGAAGUCCACUGAACCUUAUCAUUUAGAAGAAGGAGAAAUCGUAACAAGGUUUUCGUAGAUAAACCUACGAAAG